GAGCAAUGCCACAAUCAUCGAUGAAAAGGUCCUCAACGAGUGCCUCAAUGAGAUCACCCGUGCUCUUCUACAGGCCGAUGUUCAAUUUAAGCUAGUUCGUGAUAUGUCAACAAAUAUCAAGAAGAUUGUCAAUCUUGAAGAUCUUGCCGCUGGACACAACAAGCGUAGGAUUAUUCAACAGGCUGUGUAUAAUGAGCUCUGCAAGAUAUUGGAUCCUGGGAAACCUGCAUUUACACUUAAAAAAGGGAAACCUAGUGUUGUAAUGUUUGUUGGUUUGCAAGGGUCUGGAAAAACUACAACGUGUACAAAAUAUGCUUACCACCACCAGAAAAGGGGUUGGAAGCCGGCUCUAGUCUGUGCAGAUACCUUCAGAGCUGGUGCUUUCGAUCAAUUGAAGCAGAAUGCUACAAAAGCUAAAAUUCCUUUUUAUGGAAGCUAUACAGAAUCAGAUCCAGUGAAAAUAGCCGUGGACGGUGUAGAAACAUUUAAGAAGGAAAAUUGUGAUCUAAUAAUUGUGGAUACCAGUGGGCGCCACAAACAAGAAGCAGCUCUUUUUGAAGAAAUGCGACAAGUUUCUGAAGCAACGAAACCGGAUCUCGUGAUUUUUGUUAUGGAUAGUAGUAUUGGACAAGCUGCUUUUGAUCAAGCUCAAGCAUUUCGACAAAGUGUUGCGGUUGGAGCCGUGAUUGUUACUAAGAUGGAUGGCCAUGCAAAAGGAGGUGGUGCCCUAAGUGCAGUUGCUGCAACUAAAAGUCCAGUCAUAUUUAUUGGAACUGGUGAACACAUGGACGAGUUUGAAGUUUUUGAUGUUAAGCCAUUUGUCAGCCGUCUUUUAGGCAUGGGUGACUUGUCUGGAUUGGUGAACAAGAUACAAGAUGUGGUCCCAAUGGAUCAACAGCCUGAGCUUCUUCAGAAGUUAUCAGAAGGACAUUUUACCUUGAGGAUCAUGUACGAGCAAUUUCAGAGCAUGCUUAAAAUGGGUCCCCUUGGACAGGUUUUUUCAAUGCUUCCUGGAUUUAGUGCAGAGAUGAUGCCACAAGGUCGUGAAAAGGAAAGUCAAGCAAAGUUUAAAAGGUAUAUGACAAUGAUGGACUCCAUGACUGAUGAAGAAUUGGACAGUACCAAUCCAAAGAUUUUGACUGAAUCUCGGAUCAUGCGUAUAGCUAGGGGAUCUGGCCGCCUCGUGCAUGAGGUGAUGGAGAUGUUGGAAGAAUACAAACGACUUGCCAAAAUAUUCAGCAAGAUGAAGGGUCUUAAGAUUCCAAAGAAGGGAGAUAUGAGCUCCCUGUCGAGAAACAUGAAUGCACAAAACAUGAGCAAAGUCCUCCCCCCUCAGAUGUUGAAGCAGAUCGGUGGAAUGGGUGGUUUGCAGAACUUAAUGAAGCAAAUGGGUUCCGCCAAGGACAUGAUGGGUAUGUUUGGUGGUGGUGGUGGAGAGUAAUAAUGGAAUCACAAUUGAACUACAGUUUACGUCGUCAAUUCAUAGUUGGUGGAAAUAGCAUGUAACCAAAUCUCUGUCACUCCCUAUCUUUCAAAUUUUGAAUCUGAUGCAUUUGGUAAAUUUAUUUGAUUCAGAAUGAAACACUGUAUGGUUUUGAUGCUCCACUUCAUGCUAUGCUUGUAUGACAUGAUCUCUUCAUACGCUGCUUGUAAAUUU
rnacentral:misc_RNA from 1 species